rnacentral:rRNA from 1 species
AUUGAACGCUGGCGGCAGGCUUAACACAUGCAAGUCGAGCGGGGAAAGGUAGCUUGCUACCUGACCUAGCGGCGGACGGGUGAGUAAUGCUUAGGAAUCUGCCUAUUAGUGGGGGACAACAUUCCGAAAGGAAUGCUAAUACCGCAUACGCCCUACGGGGGAAAGCAGGGGAUCUUCGGACCUUGCGCUAAUAGAUGAGCCUAAGUCAGAUUAGCUAGUUGGUGGGGUAAAGGCCUACCAAGGCGACGAUCUGUAGCGGGUCUGAGAGGAUGAUCCGCCACACUGGGACUGAGACACGGCCCAGACUCCUACGGGAGGCAGCAGUGGGGAAUAUUGGACAAUGGGCGAAAGCCUGAUCCAGCCAUGCCGCGUGUGUGAAGAAGGCCUUUUGGUUGUAAAGCACUUUAAGCGAGGAGGAGGCUACUUGGAUUAAUACUCUAGGAUAGUGGACGUUACUCGCAGAAUAAGCACCGGCUAACUCUGUGCCAGCCGCCGCGGUAACAC